rnacentral:rRNA from 1 species
GCGCCUUGCCAGCCCGCUCAGAAACUACAAGGAAUUGACGGGGCCCGCACAAGCGGAGGAGCAUGUGGUUUAAUUCGAUGAUACGCGAGGAACCUUACCUGGGCUCGAACGUAAGAUGACUGUAGGUGAAAGCUUACAUCUCUUCGGAGCAUUUUACGAGGUGCUGCAUGGUUGUCGUCAGCUCGUGCCGUGAGGUGUCGGGUUAAGUCCCGUAACGAGCACAACCCUUGUCCUUAGUUACCAGCACGUUAUGGUGGGCACCCUAAGGAGACUGCCGGUGACAACCGGAGGAAGGUGGGGAUGACGUCAAGUCAUCAUGGCCCUUACGGCCUGGGCUACACACGUGCUACAAUGGUCGGUACAAAGGGUUGCCAAGCCGCGAGGUGGAGCUAAUCCCAUAAAACCGAUCGUAGUCCGGAUCGCAGUCUGCAACUCGACUGCGUGAAGUCGGAAUCGCUAGUAAUCGUGAAUCAGAAUGUCACGGUGAAUACGUUCCCGGGCCUU